rnacentral:rRNA from 1 species
CUGCGAAUGGCUCAUUAAAUCAGUUAUCGUUUAUUUGAUAGUACCUUACUACUUGGAUAACCGUGGUAAUUCUAGAGCUAAUACAUGCCAAAAACCUCGACUUCGGGAGGGGUGUAUUUAUUAGAUAAAAAGCCAAUGCCCUUUGGGCUCUUUGGUGAUUCAUGAUAACUUAACGGAUCGCAUGGCCUUGCGCCGGCGACGGUUCAUUCAAAUUUCUGCCCUAUCAACUUUCGAUGGUAAGGUAUUGGCUUACCAUGGUCUCAACGGGUAACGGGGGAUUAGGGUUCGACUCCGGAGAGGGAGCCUGAGAAACGGCUACCACAUCCAAGGAAGGCAGCAGGCGCGCAAAUUACCCAAUCCCGACACGGGGAGGUAGUGACAAUAAAUACUGAUACAGGGCUCUUUUGGGUCUUGUAAUCGGAAUGAGUACAAUUUAAAUCCCUUAACGAGGAACAAUUGGAGGGCAAGUCUGGUGCCAGCAGCCGCGGUAAUUCCAGCUCCAAUAGCGUAUAUUAAAGUUGUUGCAGUUAAAAAGCUCGUAGUUGAACCUUGGGCCUGGCUGGCCGGUCCGCCUCACCGCGUGCACUGGCACGGCCGGGCCUUUCCUCUUGGAGAGCCCCAUGCCCUUCACUGGGCGUGUGGGGGAACCAGGACUUUUACUUUGAAAAAAUUAGAGUGUUCAAAGCAGGCCUUUGCUCGAAUACAUUAGCAUGGAAUAAUGAAAUAGGACGUGCGGUCCUAUUUUGUUGGUUUCUAGGACCGCCGUAAUGAUUAAUAGGGACAGUCGGGGGCAUCCGUAUUCAAUUGUCAGAGGUGAAAUUCUUGGGAUUUAUUGAAGACGAACUACUGCGAAAGCAUUUGCCAGGGAUGUUUUCAUUAAUCAGUGAACGAAAGUUAGGGGAUCGAAGACGAUCAGAUACCGUCGUAGUCUUAACCGUAAACUAUGCCGACUAGGGAUCGGGCGAUGUUAUUAUCUUGACUCGCUCGGCACCUUACGAGAAAUCAA